UCGAAUAUAGGUUAAAACGGGUAAAAAUUGGAACGAUACACAGAAGAUUAGCAUGGCCCCUGCAUGAAUGAGUAGAUUAUGUUUUUCGUGCUUUAUGUGAUU